rnacentral:misc_RNA from 1 species
GUUGAGUUAAAAUUCAACCCUUGCAAUGCUUCUUCAGAUUGUGCGACACAAUUCUACCCUAUUAUGAUGCCAGUGGAAACCUAGUAAGCCUAAGGAAGUUCAGGUGUGAAUACAGCUACUGUUUGUAGUGUCUGAACUGCACUACAAAUAGCCCCAGAAUCCUCCCUUUCGUUUUUAAUUCUGCUUCUUAAACCUAUUCUUUACAAGCCCUAAUUGUCCAACU